CAGUCGCACGGGAGCCGCAUGUGCGUGCAGAAGUGAGCUCCACGUUUUACUCGGUUAAAGCGCUGUAUUAAACAGAAAAAGUGCAUAAUUUUUAUAUCAACGAAAAGAUCUCGUCGAGAGCUUCAAUUUGGUGUCAAUUACUCGUGGCUACGCCGAAUAGUUCCAGAGAUUUGAUUUAAUAUAAUGUUAACCCAUUGUCUUUGUGAAUUACCAUUGUAAACGGAAUUGGGGAGUCGUCAGCUCAGUGAAGUGCCGCUCAGAUGCAAAUUUACUCGUAUAUUAAAGGAUUUCUCGGCACCUUUUAGCCAUCCAACUUCAAUCUACAUACCAAGAGUAAACUGGUACCUUCCACUUGCUUCCGGUACAAGUCUCAAGUCUGUGGUGACAUCCCCAUUCCACAAAGAGGUGAACAUAGCAUUUUUGGUGUCAGAAGUGGGGUAAAGUGAAAAUGAGGUAAUAAUGUGUAUCAUUCAAAUUUUGGGAGAAAAAAUACUGUGCUCAUAUGGGAAUAUGUUUUGUGCGGAAAUCGACAAUAAAUAUGAUGGUUCCCUUGUGUAGAUUAUGGUAAAAAAAGGGAACGCUGUAUGUGAUGAGCUCCUAUCUUCUGAAGAAUAUGUAUGAAAAGAAAAAAACCGAAAGAAAAGAAAAAAAAGGAAGAAAAUAGUAACAUGUGGCGGCAACAUCAUCAUAUUUGAAAUGUGAUUCGACGCAAAAGUGGAAAAGAUACAAAAUUAAAGAUGGAGACUUAUAGUCCUUCUGGCCUAAUAGUAACAGAACAAAGAGGAGAAAACAAGAUACUUUUCAUCGGUAAACAUAUUACAAAACAUAUGCGUACUGUAAUACUGAAAUUUUGCUGCUAUUUAAAAUAUGGAAUUGUAGGAGGUCAUAUGCUGGCUACAUAAGAUUCUUUUGUGCUGCCUUUGCAUCAAUUAAUUUUGCUGUUUCAUCUUUCGUGGUCUCAAUAAAAAUUGGACUCAUGUA